GAAACUAGCGUGUAUGAAAAACUUUGAAAAUAGCGAAAAGUCACUAAAAGAAGGAGUAACUCCGAGUGUUUAGGUAGAACUAGUCUACGUUUAAAUGCUAAGCGGGAAAAUAACCGCUGUAACGAGUAAAACUAAUUUAGAUUUAGCGUUCACUGACAGAGCUACAGCACCAAACAGUGUACACAGAGCAGGAAGUAAACCGGAAAUGAGUCUGUACGCUUACCGUAGCACGUCACGACAAGACAACUGGAAACUAUGGUACCUGCACUGCCUCUAGUGGUACACAAAACUAAAAUAGAAUUGAUGAAAAAUUACAUUAGUUAAUUUUAAAACAAUUAGAACUAGAUUCAGAUUCAGAUUCAUUCUUUAUUGUCCUCAGUGGAAGAAAUUUGUUUUCACAGUCUGUACAAAGAGCCCCUUCAGCAUGAGUUCUACACACAAACUACACAUAGUACACAUACAGACAAUAUACACAUAUCUACACAUAUAACACAGGAGUGACAUCGUUAACUUGUCUGUGAGUUUAAAGGAGACAUAUUAUGCCCUUUUUCAGGUUCAUAAUUGUAUUUUGUGGCUCUCCUACAAUAGGUUUAGAUGUUUUAAUGUUCAAAAAACACAUUAUUUUACUCAUACUGCCUACAGCUGAGCACCUCUUUUCAGCCUCUGUCUGAAUCGCUAGGUUUUAGCGCCUGUCUCUUUAAGACCCCCCUCCCGAAAAGCCCAGUCUGCUCUGAUUGGUCAGCAUUAUGACGCGGCUCAUGCGGAUGACGCGGCUCACGCGGAUGACACUCCGGCCCCUCCCCUUCGUUGCCGGCAGGUAGCUCCCCUAACUGCUACUGAGAUUAGCUUCAUUUCUACCGUCAAUAUUAAUUCAAUAACUGCUUCUAAAGCAAAAACUUCACCAGCGGACAUGUUAGAGCGGGAGUCUGACCUGAAAUCACAGAGAAAUGAACAACAUCAACAAUCAGUAUUACAGCUUUCUGUGACGUUUUCCUCAGGUACAGCAGUGAGCAGUGACCUACAGUCUACACAGCCCAGUGAAGUUAAACAUAUUAUAUAUUACAUAAUAUUAACAACAUUAGUCAAGCAGUUGUUUCUAGUGAAGAAAUACCCAGUAAAUGUACCAAAGUAAUCAGAGUAAUAGUAUGAUGAUUACUGUAACCUCCCAUCUGUUAUAUUCUUUAUACACAUUAGUUUACUGAGACCAUGGAAACAGAAACCUGCAAUACUUUAUCCUGUACAACAUGUCAACAUAACUGAAGGAAUCACUCAUCUAAUAAAGUAACUUGUUCAUGUGGUUUAAAAACUGCUAAGUAACCAACUGUUAACUGUACUGUAUCCAUAUUUCAUAGUCUGAUAUUUUAACUUAAAAGUAUUAUUACCAAAGUUAACCUUCAGAUAUGUGUAAAAGCUGCAAUUAUGUUUGAACCCCAUUAAAAAUACUGUAUACUGAAUAUUCUAUCAUUUAUAUUAUAUACUGUAUUAUGAUGUCAUUUAUCUUCCAAUGUAAUAAAGUUUGAAUGUGAGACAGUAAUGUAUUGUGUUGCUUACAGUCAUUAAUACAGGUUUAAGUUCCACAAUUUCAUAUUGAUAGAUGUAACACGAAUCAGGUUUUCAACUCUUGUACAUCCAGGAAAUCUUCAUAAAACCUCUGAAAUAACAUGUUAUUUAUAUAAAACCACACUUAUUACUGAAUUUAAAAAUGACCAAAACUCUUCUUAAAAAUAAAACUUUAUUAAUGUUUCAUUCGUAUUCCAGUUACACAUAAAUAUGAAUUGUGUGUAUGCUAGUAACAAAGCUAUAACUUCAAUGUAAACUGUGCAGAUCAUGUCCUCCAUCAAGGUUUAUGGUUUCUAGUAUACUGAAGUGUGAGCUGGUAACGGUGCUCUGCAGUCAGUGUUCAUCUUCAUCAGUCUUCCUUUGGAUACCCAGACUGUCCUGAUGCUGCAGCUGUCUCUGUCCUCUGAUGGGUCCAGGAACACCUGAGCUUCAUCAGGUCACCUGUAAAACAUGGAGGAUUCAGUGUUACUUGUAAAGCAGCAUAUAAUAUACAGUAUAAUAUAAUAUACAGUAUAAUAUAACAUACAGUAUAAUAUAACAUACAGUAUAAUAUAAUAUACAGUAUAAUAUAAUACAGUAUAAUAUAAUAUACAGUAUAAUAUAAUACAGUAUAAUAUAAUAUACAGUAUAAUAUAAUAUACAGUAUAAUAUAAUAUACAGUAUAAUAUAAUACAGUGUAAUAUAAUACAGUAUAAUAUAAUAUACAGUAUAAUAUAAUAUACAGUAUAAUAUAAUACAGUACAACAGCUCAUUGUGGCUCACAAGUAGUCCUAAGUUAUAAAAUAAAAUAAUAAGCAGUGUCUCUGGUGGUUCCUGGUUGCAGCUAACUGUAGUGAUGUGUUGUUGAAACAGUCUGAGGUUACCAACACAAUGUCUAUCUAAUGGCAGCAGAUACACACACAGGACAUUUACUGACUGUAACUGAUGUUGGAACAAGUUCCCGGUGCAAUAACAGACAUUUAGCAGUGAGCCUCAGUGUUUAUAAUACAACAGGAGAUUAUAUGAGUAUAGGUAAUUACACUGGACCUGCACUUAUAUCGUCAGUAAUAGCAGUACUUCAGUAACGCUAAAUAAAUGGAUCAGAAAACUUUUAUUAGUCGGUUUGAUUCCACAAAACAACCUAGUGAGCAACCCCAGCUGCUGGGUGCUCUGUGAUUCUCUGUAUAAACUUAUAAUAAACUUUGUGUGAAUCUCUAUAACAAUAUCAGCAGGGGAGAAUAUGGAGACAUCUGCACCAGCUGGUUAAUACAUUAACUUCACCUUUAAGUUUCAUGUUCAUCUUGCACACAUUUAACAAACAUUUAACAAACAUUUAACAAACAUUUAACUAACAAUAAACGUUAGCAUCACUGAGGCUCCUGUAGCUAACAGCGGUUAGCAUGUGCUAGCAGUACACGAACAAUGAAAAACAGCAUCAAUUGUUAAAAAUCCUUCCAGUGACUUCCUCUGCCGUCUCUCCACAGACAGUUGGUACAAUCCCUCUUUCAGGAACAGUCUUUCAGUCAGUCCAGUGUUGUACUGACCGAGGUUGUGAAAACAGUCCGACACAAAGUGGUUCAGACACACAUUCCGGUUUUUGUGACUCUAGCCGGACAUUGCCGUAAAACAUAAUUUACAUACAUUUACAUACAUUUACAUAUGUAAAUUAGUGUUGGGCUGUGCAGCCAAUGACUGAACAGUUUGUCUGUUGAGGCCUUUGCCCAGACAUUAGGCUGCAGACUGCAGGCUGGACUUGCUUGUUCUCCACUAGCUUGCCUUUUAUAGUAACAAUGGCGGAGCUCCGAUAGUCAACAGGAAGUAAAGAGAGGUGGGUGGCAACAGGGAGAGCAUGUGACGUCACAAACUACACACUUCUGAACCUGCGUGAUUUCUCUCCUAUAUUCUGACUGAGGCAGCCCACAAAAACAUGACUGAGUCAUUUUUUUCCACUUGCCUGCUGAUAGGCCCUCCAGAGUCCCAAAUGUACAUAAUCAAAUGAUUCAAAAGUUGGUUUUGCAUAAUAUGUCCCCUUUAACGCUCUUAUAGCACAGGGUACAACACUUUUUCCAAAGCGUGCCUUUUUGUAGAGCAGCUGUCUUUAUCUAUGGCCAGAUGGGAGAAGGGUGAAGCAUGAGUUGAUGAUGAUGCCAAGGUACCUGAAGAGAGGGAAGGAGAGUUUACGGCGUGUGUCCAGGAUGAGUUCCUUUGUCUUGGUGACUUUGAGGAGAAGGUGACUGUCUUUACACCAUUGGGUGAAGUGGGCAAUGGAUUGGUGAUAUGCCCACUUCACCCAAUGGUGUAAAGACAGUCACAUUAACUAUGAGAAUAC
ensembl:lncRNA